CCUACGGGUGGCAGCAGUGGGGAAUAUUGGUCAAUGGGCGAGAGCCUGAACCAGCCAAGUCGCGUGAGGGAAGACGGUCCUAUGGAUUGUAAACCUCUUUUGCCGGGGAGCAAAAAGCGGUACGUGUACCGCAUCGAGAGUACCCGGAGAAACAGCAUCGGCUAACUACGUGCCAGCAGCCGCGGUAAUACGGAGGAUGCGAGCGUUAUCCGGAUUUAUUGGGUUUAAAGGGUGCGCAGGCGGCGAUUUAAGUAAGCGGUAAAAUUUCGGGGCUCAACACCGACGGGACGUUGAGAAUGGCUUGCUAGAGUGGGCGAGAGGUAGGCGGAAUGCGUGGUGUAGCGGUGAAAUGCAUAGAGAUCACGCAGAACUCCGAUUGCGAAGGCAGCAUACCGGCGCCCAACUGACGCUGAGGCACGAAAGCGUGGGUAUCGAACAGGAUUAGAUACCCCUGUAGUC
rnacentral:rRNA from 1 species